AACAGACUUGUCCUCCUGGCUCUGCUUCAAUGACAACAGGCCAAGCCCUCAUGGUAGAAGGUGCCGUUCCCACCAACCUGGGCCUUCUGCCCCCGCAGGCCCUCUCUGGGCAAGGUCAGCUGGUGCGGCAGCCGGUCGCAUGGAUCUGGGCCACAGACCUGUCUCCAGAAUGAGGCCGGGUGAGAGUUUAAUGGCAAGAAGGCUGCAGCCUGACUAAGGCUGUCGGCUUGAUUCUGCCAUGGCUCCCCCCCAUGCCAGUAAAUGGACCCUGUGCACAUGCAGAUUAAUGCAUUAUCGCUAAUGUUUUGUGCCAGAUGCAAAGGCACUCGGGCAGCCCGGCCGAGAGCUGCCAUUACCACAGGACCUUUUGCUGGAAAAUUUUUCUUGGGGCAAUUAAAUCUUCAGCUGUCUCCUCCAAGGGAGUGCCAGCUUGCAUUUUAAUUAUCCUCAAAAGAGGGAAGUAGGGGAAAGGACACAAGGCAAAGAAUGAAAAAAUAACAACCUGCUUUAUAAACACAGUGGUUUCUCCCCCAUCAACUCCACAGUGCCCUUGACCUUUAGAUUCCUGCCUCCCGAUACCCUUGGAAGGACCCCUUUAACGGGAAGAAGGGAGAGGAGGUAGGAGAGAGCGUUUCUUGAGUGUGGAAUAAGUGUUAGUGCAAUGCAUUAUGCCUGGUUAAUUUUUUUUAAAUUUUUUUUGUAGAGACAGGGUUUCCCUAUGUGGCCCAGGCUGGUCUCAAACUCCUGGGCUCAAGUGAUCUUCCUGCCUCAGCCUGCAAGUAGCUGGAACUACAGGUGCAUGCCAACCAGCCCAGCUAAUUUUUUAAAAAAAUUUUUGUAGAGACUGGGUCUCCCUACGUUGCCCAGGCUGGUCUCAAAUUCCUGGGCUCAAGUGAUCCUCCUGCUUCAGUCUCCCAAAGUGCUGGGAUUAGAGGCGUGAACCACCAUUCCCAGACUCAUGGAAAGUUCGAGAACCGGCAAAACUCAUCAGUCAGGUGCUAGGGCGAGGGAAGCACUUGACUAAAAGGGACAAAGGGAACUUUCGGGGACCUGGAAAUGCUUAUCUUGAUUGAGGUGGUGCUUACAUGGGUGUACAUAUCAGUCAAAACUCAUCAAACUGUAUACUUUAAAAUGAGUGCAUUUUAUUGUUUGUAAGUUAAUACUUUAAUAAAGUUGAUUUUAAAAUAAUAAUAAAAUAAUACGAGUUAAUAUUUAUCUAGACCUUACUAUGUGCCGUCCUAGUCGCGCUUCGUAUGUGUUAAGCCCUUUAUCCCUCACUCCAAUCUGUGACAUAGGCACUCAGUACCCCGUUGCCCAAAUGAGGAAAUUGAAACACAGAGAAGUUUGGCAACUUUCUAAAGUGACGCAGCUAGUAAGAGGCAGGGCCUGGGUUCAAAUGGAGGCAGAUUUUAAGCCUAUAGCUGAACAGCGAAGUCCAAGAUUACCCAACUGGUUAUUACUAGAGGCAGGAUUAAACCCCGGUGCCUUUCCAACGUGAUGAAACCGGUGGAAGAGGAAAACGCAUUCAUUCACUAGGGAAACAUUUACUCAUCCUCCGCUGCAGGUCGAACUGUAGACACAGAGAGCAACAGACAAAUCCCAGGCCCUCGUCGGGGAAGAAAGGGAUCAUGAAAUAAACAGAAAAAUAAAUGCGAAAUGCGGCCAGCGAUGAAAGCUCAGAAGGCGAGCUUACCCCGGACCCAAACGCGCAAUACUAACCGGGAGUGUAAGGAGGCCACGCCCUCCUCGCG
rnacentral:lncRNA from 10 species